UACAGAGGUCUCAAGCGUUGUUCGGAUUCAUUGGGCGUAAAGGGUGCGUAGGUGGCGCCGUAAGUCAGGUGUGAAAUUUCGGAGCUUAACUUCGAAACUGCAUUUGAUACUGCGGUGCUUGAGGACUGGAGAGGAGACUGGAAUUUACGGUGUAGCAGUGAAAUGCGUAGAUAUUGGGAGGAACACCAGUGGCGAAGGCGGCUCACUGGACCGGUUCUGACGCUGAGGCGCGAAAGCGUGGGGAGCAAACGGG
rnacentral:rRNA from 1 species